AGCCAUCACAACUGGAACUCCACAUUGCACUUGAACCACGUUGCUGUUCCUGGUUCCUAAGCACUCACUCCGCAAACACAGUUACGACCAGCAGACGACUACACUCUUUAUGAGGAGACGUUGACCUGAAACGUGGACCUGUUACUCAUUACAGUAAGAAAAAUUGCCAAUAUAGUACUUGAUGAAAAAUUGCCAUUCAGUACUUGAUGAAAUUUUGUUGACCUCCAGACUUGUGCCUGUAACUCUGGAUUAUUUUAACUGUGACUUGUUCCUCUGCAGGUUCCCCUUCAUGACAAAUUCACUUCCAUAUCAUCUGAGAGACUUGGUGAGUAGCUGAGUAAAAUGUAUUAUGGUACAUCAUUCCUUCCCAACCAGGUAAUGGUUUGAAUCCAACAGAUUAC